rnacentral:rRNA from 1 species
UGUUCCUUGGAACAGGACGUCAUGGAGGGUGAGAAUCCCGUGUGGCGAGGAUCCCAGUUCUUUGUAGAGUGCCUUCGAAGAGUCGAGUUGUUUGGGAAUGCAGCUCUAAGUGGGUGGUAAAUUCCAUCUAAAGCUAAAUAUUGGCGAGAGACCGAUAGCGAACAAGUACAGUGAUGGAAAGAUGAAAAGAACUUUGAAAAGAGAGUGAAAAAGUACGUGAAAUUGUUGAAAGGGAAGGGCAUUUGAUCAGACAUGGUGUUUUGUGCCCCUCGCUCCUCGUGGGUGGGGGAAUCUCGCAGCUCACUGGGCCAGCAUCAGUUUUGGCGGCAGGAUAAAUCCCUGGGAAUGUAGCUCUGGCAUUUAUGUUGGAGAACUUAUAGCUCAGGGGAAUACUGCCAGCCGGGACUGAGGAAUGCGA